ensembl:snoRNA SNORD72 small nucleolar RNA SNORD72
AGCUCACCAAUGAUGGAAAUCCAAUGUCUGAACCAAUGAAUUCAUUGUGAUUUAACUUUUUUAUUUACUCUGAGGUGAGCU